GCGUGAUCGCGGGCAGCUGGAAUACAGGCUGAGUCUCACACAACAUGCUUGAAAUUAUUUACCGCGUGAGGAAGAUAUAUUACUUGAUUGUUGCCGUUAUUGGUGUCCCUGCUACCUGGUCCUGUAUUGCCACAAGGAACAACUCAGUUUCUGGGAAGAGAUCUCCAACUUUUAGCCUGGCGUCAGAAGCUUCUAGUUGACACCUGGUCUGCUCAGGUGGUGGGGAUCUCAUCCCAGGACAAUUAUGCUCAUCCAGGUUAACUCUUUCUUCUACAGCAGUGCUUCCCAACCUAUUCUAGACCUUUUCGUGCCGCGAAACAAGUGGAAAUAUCGAACACCCUGGUUGCUAAUUUAUGCAUCCCCAACAACGACUGUUAGGAUUCCAACAGAUUUGUCUGGGAAGAUUUCUACUGAAGAAAACCAUGCCGACUUUGGCCAUACAGGGGAGGAUUCAAGCGAACUGUCAUGUAGAUGGGGAAUAAGAUGGCGGCACAACGCAGCGCUCACGGCCUCUCUGGAGAAUGUUAUCUGUUACUUGUUAAGUACAGAUUUGUAUCUGUACAUUAAGUAUAAUAUUAUUGUAU